rnacentral:tRNA from 1 species
GUAAAAUUAGUUUAUAGAAAACGUUGGGUUGUGGAGUCAAAGAAAAAUAAUAUAAUUUAUUUUAUU